rnacentral:misc_RNA from 1 species
UUAAGUUCAGCGGGUAUUCCUACCCGAUCCGAGGUCAACCUUGAUCAAAUUUCGUAUGUGAAAUUUAGGGGGUUCUAACGGCGUGGUCCGCCUCCAUCGCUAGCGAGAAGUGUGUCACAACGCUAAGACGGACGACGGCCAGCCGGUGAAAUUGAAGCACGGGGAGCUCCCGACGCCCAAUACCAAGCUAGGCUUGAUUG